UUUUAACUGAGGUAGGGCACAGCAGGAGUUUCCUGCUCAAAAUAUGGAACAGCCCGACUGGGGUAGUACCUCGACCUUACAGAAGAUCACAGCUAAAUAAUACUGUUUUCAAGCAGUAUUGUGUUCCUGUUGGGGAUUGGGUCGGCAACGCGCUUGCGAUGCUUCUGGUGUUGCAGGCGUCUAUAGGCUACGGUAAUCGCUUACCAUCAGGUGAGCCGUACGCUUGUUUGCCGACCUAGUGACAUAAAA
rnacentral:misc_RNA from 1 species